rnacentral:rRNA from 1 species
ACUCCUACGGGAGGCAGCAGUGGGGAAUAUUGCACAAUGGGCGCAAGCCUGAUGCAGCCAUGCCGCGUGUAUGAAGAAGGCCUUCGGGUUGUAAAGUACUUUCAGCAGUGAGGAAGGCGUGAUAGUUAAUAGCAUAUUCUUUGACGUUAGCUGCAGAAGAAGCACCGGCUAACUCCGUGCCAGCAGCCGCGGUAAUACGGAGGGUGCGAGCGUUAAUCGGAAUUACUGGGCGUAAAGCGCAUGCAGGUGGUUUGUUAAGUCAGAUGUGAAAGCCCGGGGCUCAACCUCGGAAU